GAUGUUAAAACCUUAAACCUUGUCUUGUCUAUAUCCUUAUCCACGCCUCAUUUCUUUUGCUACACGAUCGGUGCUUGAGAUGUCACAUGCCCAACAAGUCUUUUCAGUGAGGGAAUUUCUGGUGGAACGGUGAAAUGCGUAGAGAUUGGAAAGAACACCAACGGCGAAAGCACUUUGCUGGGCCGACACUGACACCGAGAGACGAAAGCUAGGGGAGCAAAUGAGAUUAGAUACCCCAGAAGCGUAGAUCCGGAGAUUCCCGAUAUAGGUCAACCUUUCGAACUGGUGCUGAAUCCACGGGCAGGCAAGAGACAACCCGGUGAACUGAAACAUCUUAGUAGCUAGAGGAAAAGAAAGCAAAAGUGAUUCCCGUAGUAGCGGCGAGCGAAAUGGGAGCAGCCUAAACCGUGAAAACGGGGUUGUGGGAGAGCUAUACAAGUGUCGUGCUGCUAGGCGAAGCAGCAGAGAAUGCUGCACCCUAGAUGGCGAGAGUCCAGUAGCCGAAAGCAUCACUAGCUUACGCUCUGACCCGAGUAGCAUGGGGAGGUAAACCUUUCGAACUGCUGUUGAAUCCUCGGGUAGGCAAGAGACAAACUGGUGAACUGAAACAUCUUAGUAGCCAGAGGAAAAGAAAGCAAAAGCAAUUCCCGUAGUAGUGGCGAGCGAAAUGGGAGUAGCCUAAACCGUGAAAACGGGUCCUAGCCGUAAACGAUGGAUACUAGGCACUGUGCGUAUCGACCCGUGCAAUGUUGUAGCUAACGCGUUAAGUAUCCCGCCUGGGGAGUAUGUUUGCAAGAAUGAAACUCAAAGGAAUUGACGGGCGCCCGCACAAGCGGUGGAGCAUGUGGUUUAAUCCAAUGACAAGCGAAGAACCUUACUAGGGCUUGACAUGCCGUGAAUCCUCUUGAAAGAGAGGGGUGCCUUCGGGAACGUGGACACAGGUGGUGCAUGGUUGUCUACUUUUUUCACCCCCAUCUAUGUCGUCACACGGGGGCGACAUGGAUGGGGUGAAAGUGGAAAGAGAGGGAUGGGGUUUCUCUUGCUUUUGGUAUAGUGGGCCCCAGCGGGAGGUCUGCAUGACGGGCUAAGGGCUCUCAGCCACAUGGAUAAUUUAAUGUACUCAUCGAGACGUGGAUCAUCCAAGGCACAUUAGCAUGGCGUACUUCCUCU
rnacentral:ncRNA from 1 species